rnacentral:lncRNA from 1 species
AAGGUAAAGCCUAGUCCAGUUGUUGUGGUAUUGCUAGGUUUUGAUGACCAAGGAGCGAAAUACGCUAGCUUGGCUCUCGAUCUGUUGUUUCUUGUCCUAAGCCGCCGCCGGAUCGUCCCCUUAUAUACACAGGUUGACGCCCUGCGGCUUACAGAGUCCCGGCCGACUCAUACAACGUGUCCGGCUCGGUGACGUCUUUUACAUGCCUUACUUUACAAGUCUUAUCAUACAUGGCGGUUUAUACUCAUGGGCCUUAAGCCACCUCUGGGCUUCGGCCUACUACAACCUUAUCAUAAACCGUCACCUUGUAUAUUCUUCGGGCUUCCUUUAGUUAACCCUCCAUUGCUAUUGACCCGGCCCCUCCUGGGCGGGUCAUACCUAGUAGUUAUAUCCCCAACAUUAGGCCCCAGGUUGAUUUGAACUUUGUUCUUGUCAAUCUUCAAUACUUAGAAAAAAUCCAUCUAUUACUGUUUUGCGAAAGCCUUGUAACCCGCCAUGAUGCCAUCUCCGAAUUUUUCGGAAACCCGCCACCACGUCAUCUUUGAACGGAUCUUUAUCUUUAACGCCUUCCCGAAAAUCGAGGCGCCUGGGUAGCUGGAUAACCAUGUUUUGGUCUCCUCGUUUUUCGCGCCCACUUAUCAGCCUUCUCCUUAUAAAUAGGCACGAAUGGCCUUUCUUCAUUCUCUCCCUUUUCCAUCGUCUUCUUCCUCUCUCGCAACCCUUCUGUCGCUCGAGCUCCGCCACCGUCGCAGCGCUCAUCGUCGUCCUCAAGCUCGGCUGCUGCAUCACCCUAAGCUGUCCAUAGAAACAACAACAACCCUCCGCAACAGAUCCGCGUCCGUAAGGUCUUGCCUUCUCACACCUUUAGAUCUGCAUUAGGGUUUGCGAGUUCUUUCCAUGUUCUUCGCUGUUCAUUACGGAUUCCUUGUAGUUUCUCCACCGCACCCUCCUUUAAUCUAAAAGAAGUAUAAAACCUAUGCGGUAGUUGUUUUGCAUCCAUUUCAGAUGCUAGCAGAUCCCUUUCUCCUGUACAAAAGGCCUCUUUAGAACUGACGAACUCCUCUGUGCUGGUUUUUAGGUCUAGAUUUAUUUCCCUUUUUUGAACCAUCUUGAUCCAAAAUAAUAGCAACUUGUGAAACUUGUUUAUCUCAGCACUUAGCCAAUUCUGACUCAGGCAACCUUUGAAUAUCUUUAGUCAUGGCGGCUUAUGAUUCCGGCUCAUUCUUCCUUUAUAUAUCAUUAGCCCUUACUUAAGCCGCCAUUACUCAUCUGUACUAUAAUCAUUAACCUGUAACUCCACCAAUAAUUUGAACCGGCAAAUUACUUUCUUUUCAGCUUGCCUUUUUUUCAUCAUGCCGUCAAAAGCGCCAACAGUCUGCAACUGGGUCCCUUCCACAAUUACUGAGGAUACCUUGAAAGAAUUUGUCACCAUUGGAUUUUUGCCAAAGAAAAACAUUAUGUCUUAUCGUACCCCUGACCCGGAUGAAGCACGGCCUCAGCCAAAAGACGGUGAAGUUAUCAUUUUUACUGACCACAUGAAUCGGGGGUUUUCACCACCCGACUCAAAGUUCAUCAGAGACGUUCUGCAUUUUUUCAAACUUCACCCACAAGAUCUUGGACCCAACUAUAUAUAUAUAUAUAUAUAUAUAUAUAUAUAUAUAUAUAUAUCCAAUAUUUGCAUAUUUGAAGUUCUCUGUGAGGUAUAUCUUCAAGAAGAACCAACUGUGGAGCUCUUUAGAGAGUACUUUUAUUUGAACCACCAGAAUGAGUGCACCAAUGGCCCUAGCUUGGAACUUGGCGGAAUCUCGAUUCAGCGCCGACAGGGCGCUGUCUUUCCUUUAGUAGUCUUACUAAGCCAUCCCAAAGAUUGGAACCAAACUUGGUUCUAUUGCCAAGACAUAUCACCAGCUGAUGAAAAACCACUGCCGGGUUAUCGCGCGGAGCGUCUUGAUUCUAAGUUUGUGCUCCCUGACAAGCUUACUGCUGCUGAAUGCAAGAAGCUUAUUCCAUCUAUCAAAAGGAUUCAAGCCUUAUUGGGAAACGGCUUAACUGGAGUUGAUCUGAUCCGUUGCUGAAUCGCAUGGCGGGUCAUCCCUCUAAGCCGCCGAUCUAAGUUGAUGUAUAAAUAUGGCGGAGGCCCAGAUGAUUCUCUGCGUCAUAGCUCUAUACAACUAACUGAAGAGGACAUUGUUGCAAUGUCAACCAUCCUCGUGAACGGCAAAUACGAGGACCGCAGUAAGGUUGGAUUAAACCCCUUCUGCAAACUUAACCCGACACCAGAGGUGAACCCCCUUAACCUCCUUUUUUGUUUUCUUCAGUAGUUAAAUACUUGCAUGGCUUUUUAACCUGUUAUUUGCAUACAGGCCAAAUCUGAUUUCUGGAAGGCCAAGUAUGAUCAUGAAGCUGCCAAGAAGGCUAGAUCCGCUACCAUAGCCACCAGGAGAAUGACAUGGAAGCCCAAGAAGAAGACUGCAUCUGACAUUUUCCAGCUGGAUGAUGUUUCUGAGUCGGAGGUAGCCCUUGACUCCCUUGGCCAGUUUUUUAACAACCUUAUUGACACUGACUAUUGCCAGGAUGACACGGGGGCCAUCCAGGCCGUAGAAGAAGAGGUAACUAUUUCCUCCGACUCAGCCCCUUUGCCAAGACAGAAACUUUGACUGGUAACCCGGAAAGUAAGGGUUUUGCACCCUUUGGCUUAUUUGGACCCUCAUUUUCUUUUGAAAAAGUAGCAACAUGAGAGCCGCCGUUAGGCCUGGACUAAUGACGACAUUGAACCGCCCGCCGACUUACAAAAAACUCCUUGAAAACGCCAGAAUGAGGUUUCUUUCACAUUUGUCUUUUGCUUUUAUCCAUGAAUCUAUUUCCUUACUCUCUUAACUUUAUUUUACCUUUGCAGGAGGUUUCUCGCUCUUCUGGCGACUCGUCACAAACUCAAUUUUCGGCUUUCAAGAAUGCCCCUGGGUAAGGAAAAUCAUCUUUCUUCUGCAUCUUUAAAACUGUAUCAUUGUACUAACUGUCUCAUAAAAUCUUUCUUAGCGGUCAAGCAAAGUCCAAGAAAGCCAAGGUGACUAAACCGGCAGAAGACCCAAAAGAUCCUGCACCUAAACAGGCAAUACCAACUCCUCUUGAUCAAUCUGAAGCACCAGAAGAUCCGGCUGUCCACGUUCAAUCGGACCCUCCUGAGCCGUCAGCUGAUGAGACCAUUCUUAAUCCGGCUACCACUGAACCAUCUAGCUCAGCUAACCCGCCGAUGACUUCUGACAAUGAUGUCUUAAUUACUGGUAGUCGAUUCGUUGAGCCGGGCAACCCAACCGUACUGGCCCGGCACUCUGCUAAGCAAGAGGCUUUAGACAGGCAGAAGGUGCGGUUUGAUGUCUCUCAUUAUGCUCACCUGAACGUUAGCGACGUGCUGUCUGGCUACCUCGGUCAUGUGCAUUCCAGCCGUGACUCAGAAAUUGAGAUGGUCAAGCAACUGCAGCUGAAGUAUGAGGUACGUUCACCGGCUUGCACCAUCUUAUAUAUGCUCUGCCAGCCCCCAAGUCUCCGGAUUAUGAUGAACCUGAAUGAUCCGUAGACUUGUGAUAUGGGUUGAUGCUCUAUCUUAGAUUUUCCUUAAAUCCAGCCUAAAUUUCACCUGUAGUCCCCAAGGGCUGGCUCAAUUUAUCGCAAAUGAGCCGGUACAUAACUUCAUAACUGUCUCGAAUCAGUCGAAACAAAUAGUGUGAUCCGGCUCGACAUGAAAACACUUUCUUAAUAUCAUGCAUUAGCCCCCAAGUGCCAACCAUUGUUACUUGUAAAAUACUUGGGACUUUAAUCAUAGAAGAGCCAUUUCACAUUAAAAAAUUGCUUUGGCAGACAUUAGCCCCCAAGUGCCGAGUGGUGUUGUGUUGCAAAGCACUUGGGACUUUAGUCAUGAUAACCUUUACAUUUGAACAUACCUGUGCAUGUUUGCAGACCGCCUUGACUGAAUUGGGGUCUCAAUUGACUGAUGCAAAGACCCGGCUGGUGGAUCAAGAGGCGGAGAUAAAGAACGCUGACUCCAAACUCCAGUUGAGCCUUUCUGAAGCUGAAAAACUGAAGACCAGUUUUGAUGCGGAGAAGAAAUCCUGGGCCGACGAGAAAACCUUGGUAAUCCAGCGUGCUGAGACAACGGAGGCGGCUCUCAAGGAGGUUACCACGGAGCUCACCGGCUUAAAAAACCGUGUGUCCCAGAUGGUCUCCGCAAUCUUUGGUGAGUUAUUUGCCUUUAGUUACUUACACUCUAUUUUUGCCAGAAGUAUAAGCCGCCUUCUUAACCUUUUUAAAACACCCACAGGUCCCCGGAGCAACAAUCUGAGCCAAAACAGUUUAAUAAAACUCAAGGCAGUUUACACCCUAGUGGAGCAGCUGUACGCUGGAGCACAACGAGCGCUUGCCAUUAUAUCCCCAGCCAACCAAGGACCAAACCUCUUAACUAACAUCUUGAAGAAACUGUCAAUUCUACCCGCCAGAUUCCAAGAGGUCAAGCGGUCUUGCGCAAGAGCCGGAGCCCUAACCGCACUGAGCCGUUCCAAAGCCUGGGGUGCCGGAACUUGACCCGACGGAUGUAGCCAAGGGGUAUCCCCCUUUGAAAGAAGAUGGGACUUUGUUUGAUCAAGACGAUUUUGUUGCUUGUGUGAGGGAAGUUCGUCCUCAUGCUACCAUCCUUGGCGAUGAAACCAACAUUGAUAAAUUUAGUCGGGUUUUGAUGUUGAAGAUAAGAAGAUGGCGACUCCCUCUUAUAAAGUGACAGAUCUGAUCCCGCUGGUUCGCCAACAUACUUUUGCCCCGGAAAUUGACCCGGCCGGCCUAAUUGACGAUGAAGCUAAGUUCAUUGCUCUGAACGGCUUUGACUGGUCCAAUCCCAGCUUCCAACCAGCGGAGGGAGGUGAACCGGCGAGGGAGGAGUCAUAACCAUCUGAAUAAUCCAGCCUUUAGCUUAAAAUCUGCUGAAGAGAGAAACCAUUCUAACCUUUUGGGCUCUCAAUGCCUUGUAAUAGGUUAGUUUGAAAACUGCAUGUUUUGCCUAUGCCGUCGUGCAUAGGAUGUUGCAUAUGACUUUUUACCUGUGAUGUCAAUGUAUGCAUUAUAUCCGCGAUCACAUAUGCAGUGUUUAAAUCUGUUCCUGUAUGCAAAAGAUGAAAAAACUGUCCUGGUGGUUUAUCGCUGGACGGGUCAAAACACCUGAUAUAUAACUAUGAAAUCAUCAUAGUGGAACAACAGGACCAGAUGUAAGAUAAACAAGGCUGAAAAAACCUUUGAUUAACGAAAAGACACAAAUAAGUUUGUUUAUGAAUGACAAUGUCAUACCUAUGUUCUUUGAUUUUGAACUGCCGGCUUAUAUGACCCAGACAAUAAGGUUGACGACCCUAAUCUUUGUAGAAGUCAAUACCUUGAUAUGCCUGAUGAUUGUUACACCUUGGAAACUCAUUGUCAAAUAACUGAGCUGGUUUAAAUUGAAACCAUAUGUGCAGUUAGAUUUGAGACAACAAAAACCCAGUAAAACAAGAUAGUAUGUUUCAAACGAUGUAAAUCAAGCAUUAAGAGUAAUUUUGAGGCUUCUGAUUCGAAUACGAUCAGUAAACCAGACCAAAGGGGUUAAGCUAGGAUUCGAAUAUGAUCAUGUAGCCCCCAGUGGCUUUGGCAUUGCACCGAUCAAAGGGUACCGACAGCUAUGUUCUCUUUGGUUCGAACACGACCUAUGUUUGAACAGGAAGCCCCCAAAUGACCUUAAGAGGUUUUUAAUGACCCUGAUUCGAAUACGAUCCAAGUCGGACCCAAAAGGGGUUAAGCUAUGAUUCGGAUACGAUCAAGAAGCCCCCUUGUGAGUUUGGCUUUGUGUCAAUCAAGAGGGUUACGACAGCUAUGUUCUCUUCGGUCUGAAUACGACCUAUGUUUGAACAGGAAGCCCCCUAGUGACCAUGAGGUUUACGGCUAGAUUCGGAUACAAUCAUGAGCCAGACCAAAAGGGUUAAGCUAGAUUCAAAUAUGAUCAGCCCCUAAUGGUCGUUUGAAUAAUUAGAAUAAUAAAGAUAUAUGAUCAUUGAAAAUGAAAAGGAUAGAGGUCCUGCUUUAUUACUUAUCAUAAUAUAUACAAUGUCACAGUAUGUACAUUAUGAGAGCUGAUGGCUCAAGUAUAGUACGGCUAAAGAUGAAUAAUAUUCCACGGCCGGCGGGUCUCCUCCUCCGACUUACGUGAGUCUUUGUGCUCUCGAACGUCGAUAAGGUAAUAUGACCCAUUGUUCAAGUUCUUGCUGACCACAAAGGAUCCUUCCCAAGGUGGGGAUAGCUUGUGUGCAUCAGACUGAUCCUGGAUGAGCCGGAGCACCAGGUCACCUUCUUGAAAGGUUCUGGACCUAACCCCACGGCUGUGAUAACGUCGCAGGACCUGUUGAUAAAUUGCUGAUCGGGCUGCUGCCAAAUCUCGCUCCUCAUCUAACAAGUCAAGUGCAUCUUUUCGGGCUUGUUCAUUAUUAGCUUCAACGUAAGCCGCCACGCGGGGCGAGUCAUGAUGAAUAUCACUAGGUAGGACUGCUUCUGCUCCAUAAACCAUGAAGAAAGGCGUAUAACCCAUAGACCUGUUAGGAGUGGUAUUGAUGUUCCAUAGCAUUGAGGGUAACUCCUCUACCCAACAACCCGGCGUCCGUUGUAAAGGAACCAUAAGCCGGGGCUUGAGACCUUUUAAGAUUUCCCGAUUUGCUCUUUCAGCUUGACCAUUGGAUUGGGGGUGAGCUACUGACGAAACAUCAAGCCGGAUAUGCUCAUGUUGACAAAACUCCUCCAUAGCGCCUUUGGACAGAUUAGUACCAUUGCCAGUUAUAAUGUUGUGUGGAAAGCCAAAACGAAAGAUCACCUUUUUCAUGAACUGAACCACCGUGGCUGCAUCGCACUUACUAACCGGCUCUGCCUCAACCCAUUUUGUGAAUUUGUCAACUGCCACCAAACGAUGUGUCUUUUUAUCCUGGGAUCCUUUGAAAGGUCCAACCAUGUCAAGCCCCCAGACUACAAAUGGCCAAGUGAUUGGAAUCAUCCGCAAUUCUUGAGUCGGCACGUGCGCUCGUCGUGUAAAUUUUUGACACCCAUCGCACCUACUGACCAGAUCCUCUGCAUCAGCGUGAGCCGUUAGCCAGUAAAAACCAUGACGAAAAGCUUUGGCCACAAGAGACUUUGAACCGGCGUGAUGGCCACAAUCCCCUUCAUGGAUCUCACGAAGAAUUUCUUGACCUUCUUCAGGAGAGACACAACGUUGAAACGCUCUGGUGACGCUGCGAUGAUACAACUCACCAUUGGAAAUUGUCAUUGACUUAGACCGCCGGGUUAUCUGUCGAGCCAAGGUCUCAUCCUCCGGUAACUCACCCCGGGUCAUAUAAGCGAAAUACAGUAUUGUCCAAUCUGGAAUGACAUGAAGAGCUGCCACCAACUGUGCCUCCUGGUCUGGAACGGCCAAAUCUUCCUCUGUAGGUAAUUUGACAGAAGGGUUAUGCAGAACAUCUAGAAAAGUGUUAGGUGGUACCGGCUUACGCUGAGAUCCCAACCGGCUUAAAGCAUUAGCCGCUUCGUUUUUUCUGCGGUCAAUGUGCUCCACUUGAUAACCCUUGAAGUGUCCAGCAACAGCGUAAACCUCACGGCGGUAAGCCGCCAUGAGAGGGUCCUUGGAGUCCCACUUGCCUGAUACCUGAUGAGCCACCAAAUCUGAGUCGCCAAGGCACCGCACCCGGCUUAAACUCAUCUCUUUAGCCAUUCGAAGACCAUGGAGUAAGGCCUCAUAUUCUGCUGCGUUGUUAGUACAAGGAAACAUCAAUCGCAACACAUAACAAAACUUGUCACCUCGAGGAGAAGUUAAAACAACUCCAUCCCCCGAGCCUUCCAACUGUCUGGACCCAUCGAAAUGAAUCGUCCAAUAUGUGUUGUCUGGCUUCUCUUCAGGUAUCUGCAACUCCGUCCAAUCAUUAAUGAAGUCCAGCAAUGCUUGAGACUUAAUGGUCGUACGUGGCACAUACUUUAAAUUAUGAGACCCAAGCUCAAUGGCCCACUUGGCGACUCGUCCUGUGGCUUCUCUAUUUUGAAUAAUAUCUCCUAAAGGAGAAGAGCUAACCACAGUGGUAGGGUGACCCUGGAAGUAAUGCUUAAGCUUCCGGCUUGCCAUGAACACCCCAUAAACAAGCUUCUGCCAAUGUGGAUAUCUUUGCUUGGAUUCAAUGAGCACCUCACUGACGUAGUAAACCGGCCGUUGAACCGGAUGUUCCUUGCAAGCCUCCUUGCGCUCCAUAACAAUGGCCACAUUGACGACCCGUGAGUUAGCAGCCACAUAUAACAACAGUAGCUCCUUCUCAACGGGGGCAGCAAGAACCAGCGGCUCAGCAAGAUGUCUUUUCAAAUAUUCAAAGGCGGAGUUGGCAGCGUCACUCCAGACAAAGUCAUUUGUCUUUUUCAUCAUUUGAUACAACAUCAUAGCCUUCUCACCCAACCGGCUUAUGAACCGUCUCAAAGCUGCAACUCGACCCGCCAGCCGCUGAACAUCAUUGAUGCACGCCGGUUUAGCCAAAGAUGUAAUCACUUUAAUUUUUCUGGGUUAGCCUCAAUGCCUCUGUUAGACACCAAAAAGCCCAAAAGCUUGCCAGCUGGGACUCAAAAAAACACACUUGGCCGGGUUAAGCAUCAUCUUGUAGACCCGGAGGUUAUCAAAGGUUUCCUUCAGAUCAACUACCAAGGUUUCCUUCUCUUUGGAUUUCACCACUAUAUCAUCCACGUAAGCAUCAACAUUACGCCCAAUCUGAUUUUGAAGGCAAUUCUGUACACACCGCUGAUAAGUUGCUUGGGCACUCUUAAGCCCAAAAGGCAUAGACACAUAGCAGAAGGCUCCAAACGGAGUAAUGAAAGCCGUCUUCUCCUGGUCCUUAACCGCCAUUUUGAUCUGAUGAUAACCAGAAUAAGCAUCCAAGAAGCUCAGACGCUCACAACCCACCGUAGCAUCAAUGAUUUGAUCAAUACGAGGGAGAGCAAAAGGAUCAGCCGGGCAAGCUUUGUUUAAAUCCAUGUAAUCUACACACAUACGCCAAGUGUCGUUCUUUUUCAGCACGAGCACCAGGUUCGCCAACCACUCUAGGUGAAAAACUUCAACAAUAAACCCAGCUGCCAAAACCCGGGCCACCUCUUCUCCAAUAGCCUUGCGCCUUUCCUCAUUAAACCAUCGAAGAAACUGCCUGACCGGCUUAAACUUUGGAUCUAUAUUAAGAGUGUGCUCAGCGAGUUCUCUCGGUACACCUGGCAUGUCAGAAGGCUUCCACGCAAAGAUGUCCCGGUUCUCACGGAUGAACUCGAUGAGCGCGCCUUCCUAUUUUGGAUCCAAGUUAGCGCUGAUAAUGAACUGUUUGGAUGAGUCGCCAGGCACAAAAUCAAUCAUUUUGGUAUCAUCAGUUGACUUAAAUUUCAGCGCCGGCUCAUUCUCCGUAGUUGGCUUCUUCAAAGACGUCAUGUCUGCCGGGUCAACAUUAUCCUUAUAAAACUUCAAUUCCUCUGUUGCACAAACAGACUCGGCGUAAGCAACAUCGCCUUCUUCACAUACCAGGGCUAUCUUCCGGCUUCCAUGCACUGUGAUGGUGCCCUUAUAACCCGACAUUUUGAGUUGCAGAUAAACAUAACACGGCAGUGCCAUGAACUUAGCAUAAGCCGGCCGUCCAAACAGAGCGUGAUACGGGCUUUUGAUUUUAACCACUUCAAAAGUUAACUUCUCAGCCCUAGAAUCAUACUCAUCCCCAAAGGCUACUUCCAACUCAAUCCUACCAACUGGGUAUGCCGACAUACCAGGCACAACUCCAUAAAAAACAGUAUUGGACGUUUUAAGACUUUUGUCAGUCAACCCCAUGUGAUGGAACGUCUCAUAAUAAAGGAUGUUGAUGCUACUGCCUCCGUCCAUGAGCACUUUAGUGAAUUUGUAUCCGCCAACCUAAGGUGCCACCACCAAAGCCAGAUGACCCGGAUUAUCAACCCGGGGAGGGUGGUCUUCCCUACUCCAUACGAUAGGCUGCUCAGACCAUUUUAAAUAAUGUGGGACUGUCAGUUCAACAACGUUUACAGCCCUCUUAUGAAGUUUUUGGUCCCUUUUGCACAAACUGGUGGUGAAUACAUGAUACUGCCCACUGUUCAAUUGUUUUGGGUUGCUCUAAUACUCAGACUAUUUUUGCUGCUGAUUACCUUGGCCGGAUUGCUGAUUAUAGCCGCCCUGACUGCCUUGAGGGCCCUGGCCGAGAAAACCGCCACUGCCUGAGCCGCCGCCAGGCCCGUGGUUACCAUCAAACAUGUUGGAAUUGUUAAAAGCCUUCAUGAUCGUACAGUCUUUCCACAGCUGGGUAGCUUGCUUCUCCCGGGUGCCGUGUCUUGGACAAGGUUCAUUUAGCAGCUGCUCAAGGGUGGGACCUGACCCGCCAGAGCGAGGAGGUGGCCUCCCUUUGCGCCGUUGAUCGUUGCCCUGUGCAUCGGUGUUAGCCACAAACUCCAGACUACCGUCGGCCUUACGUUUGUUACCUCCUUGAUUCGCCGGGUUGUGCUGGUGACCUUUGCCGUUGUUGUUCUUCUUUCCCUUCCCUGUCUCCUCUUCGUCAGGCACGGGGUCCUUGGUACUGUCAGAAUCGGCGUACUUGACCAGAGCCGCCAUCAGCUGGCCCAUGUCAUGACAAUCACGCUUGAGCCGCCCCAGCUUCUAUUUUAGAGGUUCAAAACGACAAUUUUUCUCCAACAUUAAGACCACGGAGCCGGCAUCCAUCUUAUCAGAUGAAUGUAUUAUUUCCUUGACCCGGUGCACCUAAUGGGUCAUGGAUUCGCCUUCCUCCUGCUUGCAGUUAGUCAAGUCCACGAUCAACAUGGGCUGCUUACAGGUAUCUUUGAAGUUCUGAAUGAACCGGGCUUUUAACUCUGCCCAUGAGCGAUGAACUUGGGUGGCAACCCCUUCAACCAAGUGCGAGCUGCUCCAUCCAACAUCAUAGUGAAGUAUUUAGCCAUUGCUGCGUCACUGACCUCCAAUAACUCCAUGGCCAUCUCGUAACUUUCAAUCCAUGCUCCGGGCUGCAGGUCGGCUGUGUAAUUAGGUACCUUACGAGGCCCCUUAAAGUCCUUUGGCAAACGCUUAUUACGCAGAGUCGGCACCAGACAAGGGACACCUCCUGUCUUUGUGGCCACGCCUGCUUCAAUAGAGGUCGCUGGAUAAAUCGGAAAAGCUUGGUGAGCCGCCAGCUCAGCUGCCUAUUGAACCGCCCGCUCAGUCUCUUGACGGAUCCUCUCCUGGUCCACCAAGUUAAGAGCCCCACCCUGGGCCGGGUCAUGCCUGCUUGGUUGGUUAUGACAUUGGGCAUUGCUUGACAUGGAUGCUGAGUCCAUAUGCCUACUAUAGCUCGGGCUCCGGCUUGGGCGAGGGGUUGAAUGGAUUCUGUCUCGACUAUAAGAGUAUGCAUCCUAUUGUGCCAAAGCCGUCUGAAAAAGUUCUCUGACCCUUCAUGUUUCGAUCGCUGUUGGAGAGUCGCCUUCCAUCGAGAGAGCCGCCAAACAAGCCGACGCAGCGAUACGAUUCUCCAAAGGGUUAGAAAAGUGACCCAGUGGUAUUAGUGUGUAAUGAGGCGGAGCGGUANNNNNNNNNNNNNNNNNNNNNNNNNNNNNNNNNNNNNNNNNNNNNNNNNNNNNNNNNNNNNNNNNNNNNNNNNNNNNNNNNNNNNNNNNNNNNNNNNNNNNNNNNNNNNNNNNNNNNNNNNNNNNNNNNNNNNNNNNNNNNNNNNNNNNNNNNNNNNNNNNNNNNNNNNNNNNNNNNNNNNNNNNNNNNNNNNNNNNNNNNNNNNNNNNNNNNNNNUGAACCGGCGCCCCAGUCUCGGGUGUUGCGACCCGGUUUGCCUCCGGAAGGUUACUAGGACCAGACCCAGGUGUGUGGAAGAGGUUCCUAGGAUCAUAAGUUAGAGGCAGACGUGAUUGAGCCUUUUGGUACCUUCUCCUCAUGACCUCAUUUGAUGCGUUUAGAACCACUGAGAGCCGGAAAGUCUGCUUGAAGCUGCUGAGCACGAGCAUCUAGAACCGCCCGCUCUGCAGCCAUCCUUACGUCCUCUGCUGCUAAAUUCUCCUUAGCUUGUGCUACCUCCUCACAUAACCGUGCCACCUCUGCAUCAUGCUGAGCCUUAUCUGCCGGCUCAACCACGGCGGUCAACAAGGUCGUCAUCCUAUCCACGAGAUCCAUUAGCACCUGAGCCGGUGGACGCACGGGGUCUUGAUACGUCUCCAUCGUAUCUACUUUUCCAAACACUUUUGCCCUUGUUUUGGACUCUAUCUUGUAUGAUUUGAAUGGAACUAACCCGGACUGACGCUGUUUUCAGCAGAAUUACCAUGAUGUUGUUUUAUGUGCAGAAAACAAAUAUUCUCGGAAUGACCUGAAACUCCGCGGGAGGUCUUAGAAAAAACAAUAAAAAAUCCUCGCCAAAUAUGAAGACCAGGGGGCCCACACUCUUUCCACGAGGGUGGGGGUGCCCCCCUAGGGCGCGCCCCCCUACCUUGUGGGCCCCCUGUUGACCCUCCGACGCCAACUCCAACACUAUAUAUUUGCUUUUAGAGAGAGAAAAAUAAGAGAGAAGAAAUCAUCGCGUUUUACGAUACGGAGCCGCCGCCAAGCCUUAAAACCUCUCGGGAGGGCUGAUCUGGAGUCCGUUCGGGGCUCCGAAGAGGGGGAUUCGUCGCCGUCAUCAUCAUCAACCAUCCUCCAUCACCAAUUUCAUGAUGCUCACCGCCGUGCGUGAGUAAUUCCAUCGUAGGCUUGCUAGACGGUGAUGGGUUGGAUGAGAUUUAUCAUGUAAUCGAGUUAGUUUUGUUAGGGUUUGAUCCCUAGUAUCCACUAUGUUUUGAGAUUGAUGUUGCUAUGACUUUGCUAUGCUUAAUUCUUGUCACUAGGGCCCGAGUGCCAUGAUUUCAGAUCUGAACCUAUUAUGUUUUCAUUAAUAUAUGUGAGUUCGAGAUCCUAUCUUGCAAGUCUAUAGUCACCUACUAUGUGUUAUGAUCCGGCAACCCCGAAGUGAAAAUAAUCAGGACCACUCCCGGUGAUGACCAUAGUUUGAGGAGUUCAUGUAUUCACUAUGUGCUAAUGCUUUGUUCCGGUUCUCUAUUAAAAGGAGGCCUUAAUAUCCCUAAGUUUCCAAUAGGACCCCGCUGCCACGGGAGGGUAGGACAAAAGAUGUCAUGCAAGUACUUUUCCAUAAGCAUGUAUGACUAUAUACGGAAUACAUGCCUACAUUACAUUCACGAAUUGGAGCUAGUUCUGUGUCACCCUAUGUUAUGACUGUUACAUGAUGAACCGCAUCCGGCAUAAUUAUCCAUCGCUGAUCCAGUGCCUACGAGUUUUCCAUAUACUGGUUUACGCUUAUUUACUUUCCUGCUGCUACUGUUACAAUCACUACAAAAUACCAAAAAUAUUACUUUUGCUGUCUUUACUUUUGUUGCCGCUACCACCACUAUCAUAUUACUUUGCUACUAAACACUUUGCUGCAGAUACUAAGUUUCCAGGUGUGGUUGAAUUGACAACUCAGCUGCUAAUACUUGAGAAUAUUCUUUGGCUCCCCUUGUGUCGAAUCAAUAAAUUUGGGUUGAAUACUCUACCCUCGAAAGCUGUUGCCAUCCCCUAUACUUGUGGGUUAUCAAGACAAAUUUCUGGCACUGUUGCCGAGGAGCAUAGCUCUAUUCUUUGAGUCACUUGGGAUUUAUAUCUGUUGGACACUAUGAAGAACUUGAGAGAUCCAAAAACCAAGAUCUAUCCCUCAACUACGAGGGGAGGUAAGGAACUGCCAUCUAGCUCUGCACUUGAUUCACCUUCUGUUAUGAGUAAGUUUGCGACACCUACACCUGCUUCUGCUAUUUGUUCUGAUAUGUCGCAUGUUAUUGAUGAUGCCACUUCUGCUAUGCAUGAUACUUAUGAUGAAGCUGCUUCUAUGUCUGAUACUACUGUGCCCCUUGGUGAUUUUCUAGAAGACCAAAUUGCUAGGGCUAGAGAAAGAGAAAUUAUUGAAUCUGAAUAUGAUGAUUAAAAUAUGCCUGUUAUUCCUAGAGGUUAUCUUUUUGAUAAAGAUGCUUCUUUAGCUAUUUUAGCUUGCAGAGAUAGAUAUGAGCUUAAGAGGUUAUUAAUUAAAUGGAACAAAGAAUCACUUAGAGAUAGAAUGAGACCCGACCCUGAUUUUGCUACUUCACCUACAUGUGUUCCUGAUAAAGAUUAUGAAUUCUCUGUUGAUCCUGAUAUAAUUACUUUGGUUGAAUCUGAUCCGUUUUAUGGCUAUGAAUCUGAAACUGUUGUGGCACAUCUUACUAAGUUAAAUGAUAUAGCUGCCCUGUUCAUUGAUAAUGAGAGAUCACAUUACCUCUAUUUACUCAAAAUAUUCCCGUUCUCAUUAAAGGGUGAUGCUAAGAUAUGGUUUAAUUCUCUUGAUCCUGGUUGUGUGCGUAGUCCCCGGGAUAUGAUUUAUUACUUCUCUGCUAAAUAUUUCCCUGCUCAUAAGAAACAAGCUGCUUUAACGGAAAUAUACAACUUUGUGCAAAUCAAAGAAGAGAGUCUCCCACAAGCUUGGGGGAGGCUUCUCAAGCUACUUAAUGCUUUGCCUGACCAUCCUCUUAAGAAACCUGAAAUACUUGAUAUCUUUUAUAAUGGACUAACCGAUGCUUCUAGAGAUUACCUGGAUAGUUGUGCUGGUUCUCUUUUCAGAGAAAGAACACCGGAUGUAGCUAAAAUUCUAUUGAAUAAUAUGUUGACAAAUGAAAAUAAUUAGGCACCUCCUGAGCCAGCUCCUGCUCCAAUUACUAAGCCUAUUCCUAAACCAACUCCGAAGAAGAGAGGUGUUUUAUUUCUCAGUUGAAGACGUUAAGAAUUUACCUCCUAUUGAAGACGUUAAGAAUUUACCUCCUAUUGAAGAAAUACAUGGUCUUAAUUCACCGCCUGUUGAAGAGACAUAUGAUCUCAAUUAUUUAUUUACUAAAGAACCUCCUGAUCCCGAUAUCCCAACAUAGGCAGUAAAGGUAAAUUCUCUCUAUAGAUAUGAUAAAGCUGAAGUCCCUCCUACUAAAAUUGCUACUCAGUGCUUGGAUGAGUUUGAUAACUUUAUGUAUAAGCAAGACGACUUCAAUGCUUAUUUUGGUAGACUAUUAAAAGAAAAUGCUUAUAUGAUUAGACGCUUGGGUGAUUAUAUUGCUGAUAUUAAGGGUGAACUUAAACUUAUUAGCAAACAUGCUUCUAUGGUCACCACCCAAGUAGAACAAGUACUUAAAGCUCAAAAAGAAGUGCUUAAUGAAAUGAAUAGUAAGAAAAAUGAUUAUGCUAUUAGAUUGGCUACUAGAACUGGUAGAAUGACUCAGGAACCUUUGUAUCCUGAAGGCCACCCUAAGAGAAUCGAGCAAGAUUCUUAGAGAAAUAAUAUUGAUGUUCCUAGUUCUUCUAAAAAUAAGAAGAAAAAAAUGAUAGAACUGUGCAAACUUCUAGUGAACCUAUUGUUGAACCACCUGAUAAUCCAAAUGAUAUAUCUAUGUCUGAUGCUGAAACACAAUUUGGUAAUGAGCCUGAACCUAAUGAAAAUAUUAAUGCUGAUGUUCAUGAUGAUGCUCAACCUAGUAAUGACAAUGAUGUAGAAAUUGAACCUGCUGUUGAUCUUGAUAACCCACAAUCAAAGAAUCAACGUUAUGAUAAAAGAGACUUUGUUGCUAGGAAAUAUGAUAAAGAAAGGGAACCUUGGGUUCAGAAACCCAUGCCUUUUCCUCCGAAACCAUCCAAGAAAAAGGAUUAUGAGGAUUUUGAGUGCUUUGCUGAAAUGAUUAGGCCUAUCUUUUUGCGUAUGAGAUUACCUGAUGUGCUCAAAAUGAAUCCUUAAGCUAAAUAUAUGAAAGAUAUCAUUACUAAUAAAAUAAAGAUACCGGAAGCUGAGAUUUCCACCAUGCUUGCUAAUUAUACUUUUAAGGGUGGAAUACCAAAGAAACUUGGAGACCCCGGAGUACCUACUAUACCUUGCUCCAUUAAAAGAAAUUAUAUUAAAACUGCUUUAUGUGAUCUUGGAGCUGGUGUUAGUGUUAUGCCUCUCUCUUUAUAUCGUAGACUUGACUUGAAUACGUUGACACCUACUAAAAUAUCUUUGCAAAUGGCUGAUAAAUCAACUGCUAUACCUGCUGGUGUUUGUGAGGAUGUGCCUGUUGUGGUUGCAAACGUUACUAUUUUAACGGACUUUGUUAUACUUGAUAUUCCCGAGGAUGAUAGUAUGUCUAUUAUUCUUGGAAGACCUUUUCUUAAUACUGCAGGGGCUGUUAUUGAUUACAACAAAGGCAAUGUCACUUUUCAUGUUAAUGGUAAUGAGCAUACGGUACACUUUCCGAGGAAACAACCUCAAGUUCAUAGUAUCAACUCUAUUGGAAAAAUUCCAUCGAUUAUAUUUGGAGGUUUUGAAUUUCCUCUUCCUACUGUCAAGAAAAAAUAUGAUAUUCUUAUUAUAGGGGAUGUGCAUAUCCCCGUUGAGGUAACUUAGUGUUAUUCAAAAUUUCUCAGGUUUCCUGAUUAUCGGAAUGAGUUUGUUAACAAGACUUGAUCAACCUUGUUAGCGGAUUCUUUUUGAUGAGCAUGAGAUGGAUGAAACUAGAAGCACAAACUUCUGUACCCUAUUUAUACUUUCUGUUAUUUAUAUUAAAUAAAGUAAAAAUAGUAUUUUUCUGUCUGUUAUCUGAUUAUCCGUGCAAUAUAAAAAUAUCCCGAAAAUAAAAGUCCUCAGAAUGCCAUGCCAAUUUAAUAUGAUUUUUUCGGGAAUAUUUGAGGAUUUACUGUGCAAAAAUUACCGCGGGAGGAGCUGCCACUUGGCCAUGAGGGUGGUGGGCGCCCCCCCUAUAGGGUGCGCCCCCUGCUUCGUGGGCCCAUGAUGGCCCUCCUCCACUUAUUCCAGCACCCAUCUUCUUCCUCUGUCUCACACAAACCCGAAAAACCAACUCAAGCACGAGUUCCAACCACUUUUGCUGUGAUUUUCGAUCUCCUUGCUCAAAGCACCUCUCACAAAACUGCUUGGGGAGAUUGUUCCUUGGUAUGUGACUCCUCCAUUGGUCCAAUUAGUUUUUGUUCUAGUGCUUUAUUCAUUGCAAAUUUGUGCUGCAUAGGUGACCAUGUUCUUGAGCUUGCAUGUCAAAUUUAUAUGGUUCCAAGUAGUUCUAAUGCUUGAUAUAGGCUCUAGGCACUUGUAGGAGUAGUUGCUAUCAGUUUAAUUGAGUUUGGUUCACUUUUAUUUCGAAUUUAAUAAAAAUUUCAGAAUUUUUUCAGAGAAAAACAAUAUGUUUAGGAAGAUGUUCCAAGGUGGUUCCUCUAAGAAGCAAGGACCCAGAAUUGCUAUGCGCGAUGCUGACGAGGAUCCACCAAGAGACGCUCUAGUACGGCCUUGUGAAUGGCCAUCGGAAAAUUUUAUGGACCAUGCGGGAAUUAAAGAAGAAUUCAAAUCAUAUUUGCGCAAUGCCGAUCUUGAGGAUUUUGAGGCUAACAAAUGCCCCCAGUGUCAUGAUCUCACAAGUUCAUUUGUGAGGAGGUUUGAGUAUUCAUCUUCGCGUAAUUCUCCUUCAGUCAUGUUUGAUCUUUAUGACAAAUCUUAUACCAUGGACCUAGAGGAUUUCAGUUCUGCUUGCGAACUUCCAUCAUGGGGCAGUAUUAGGGAUCCUCCUAAAUCUGAAUUUAGAAACUUUCUUGCUAGUAUUACUGUGGGGGAAUCCAGAGAUAUAACGCAGGCUACCAUAGGGAGCAUUCAUUUUCCUGCUAUACAUUAUUUUGCUCUUUUCAUUGGUAGAUGCAUAAAUGCUAAGGAUGAAGCAUGUCACAUGUGUGUCCCUGAUCUUAGCAUUCUUAGGAGUGUUGUGUUAGGAGACCAAUCUUAUCAUAUGGGAGCCAUUGUAGCUCGUAGGUUGCAUCAUAAUAGACAUGAUGGAGAUUUCUUUGGAGGAAUUUAUGCAACUCGCUUAGCUCAUUUUCUUGGAAUAGACAUUCAUGAGGGUGAUAUAGAGUUGCCUCCUGCAUAUUUAGAUUAUAACUCUAUGGCUUCACACCAGUUUGUUGAGAGGCCUGAAUCACCUCUCUUAUACCGCUUAAUUUUUGAUAAACGACGUGUUUUCCGUAUUACUCUCCCUGCUCAUGCCUUCUUUGAUUCACAGACAAAAGGAAGAUAUGUUAUUACCAGAGAGGAGGCAGAAGAGUACGAGAGGAGAGCGGAGGCAGCUCGACUCCACGCCGCAGCUCAGCAGGCGAUAACCGCUGCACAUCAGUAUGAUCCCAACUAUUCCUCCUCGUCACAGUACGACCCCAACAACUAUUAUUAUGGAUAUCCGCCAGGCCAGCCAUGGCCAUAGACCAACUUAGGCCAAAAGCCUAAGCUUGGGGGAGUACGUAUUUCUCACCGACAUUACAUUUAUGCUCACACACACUCAUUGCUAGAUGUCGAUGCUCAUACUUUUUCAUUGUAAUAUCCAUACAAGUUUAUUUUCUUUUUCCUUCUUUCUUCUUGUGUGUUUGCUUAACCUUAAGAAAAACCAAAAAAAAUAGUAGUAGUUUAUUUUUCUGUUGUAGUAGUAAUAAUUAAAAAAGAAAACCCAAAAAUAUUUCCCAUUCUUCUUUUGCUUGUUGGGAGCUUUCCCGUGUAAAUAGUUUUAUUUCUUUUCUUUUCUUUGGGGGUCAGUAGGAGAAGACCAUAAUUAAAUUGUUGAAGUGGCUCUUAUAUGCAUUAUUGAUUGAUUUAACCAAGAGCCCAUAUUGCCUUGUCUUCUCCUGUUUAUCGAAUGCUCGCAGAUUCCAGCUUAGUCCAAUGCAUGUGCACUCUUAUUAUUAUUCACACUAUUCGGUCGUGCAAGUGAAAGGCAAUUAUGAUGAUAUAUGAUGGACUGACCGAGAUAAGAAAAGCUGGUAUGAACUCGACCUCUUUUGUUUUUGUAAAUAUGAUGAGUCCCUCGUUCUUGAUUCAGCUUAUUAUGAAUAAACAUGUUUGCAAUGACAAUUAGAGAUCAGAGUUGCUUGUGCCAUGCUUGAUUAGCUAUGAGUUAUAAUGAUUUACCUUGUGUGCUAACAUGCUAUUAAAAUGGUUAUGAUGUGGUAUGAUGGGGUGGUAUCCUCCUUUGAAUGAUUUAAGUGACUUGACUUGGCACAUGUUCACUCAUGUAGUUGAAACAAAAUCAACAUAGCCUUCACGAUAUUUAUGUUCAUGGUGGAUUAUAUCCUACUCAUGCUUGCAUCCAAUGUUUAUUAAUUUUAAUGCAUGUACAUGGCUGUUGUCGCUCUCUAGUUGGUCGCUUCCCAGUCUUUUGCUAGCCUUCACCUGUACUAAGCAGGAAUACUGCUUGUGCAUCCAAUCCCUUGAACCCCAAAGUUAUUCUAGAUGAGUCCACUAUACCUUCCUAUAUGCGGUAUCUACCGGCCGUUCCAAGUAAAUUUGUAUGUGCCAAACUCUAAACCUUCAAAUAAACAUUCUGUUUUGUAUGCUCGAAUAGCUCAUGUAUCAACAAAGGCUGUCCUUAUCUUCCGUGUUAGGCGGGUUAUUCUUAAGACGAGUGGACUCCACUCCUCACUCACGAGAAAAUGGCUGGUCACCGGGAUACCCAGUCACAUGCUUUAUGCAAACUAAAUCCAAAUUAAUUGCAAACAAAACUCCCCCUAGGACCUGAUGUAUGUUGGAGGCACUCGUUGUUUCGAGCAAGCCAUGGAUUGAUGCUUGUUCGUGAAGGGGGAGUAUAAACUUUACCAUUAUGUUUGGGAACCGCCUAUAAUGUGUUUAGCAUGGAAGACAUCGCCAUCUCUUAGUUGUUAUGUUGACAAUGAAAGUAUACCGCUCAAAAUACAAUUUAUCUCUAUUGCAAAACCGAGCUCUGGCACCUCUACAAAUCCCUGCUUCCCUCUGCGAAGGGCCUAUCCAUUUACUUUUAUGAUGAGUCAUCACCCUCUUAUUAAAAAGCACUAGCUGGAGAGCACAACCGUCAUUUGCAUUCAUCACUAUUAAUUUAUAUUGGGUAUGACUAUGAUUGGAUCUCUUUUACCAUGAAUUACAAUGUCUAGUCAGUCCUUGAUCUUUAAAGGUGCUCUGCAUUUAUGUUUUGCGGUCUCGGAAAGGGCUAGCGAGAUACCAUCUUGUUAUAUCAUAUUAUGAUUGUUUUGAGAAAGUGUUGUCAUCCGAGAUUUAUUAUUAUGACUUGCUAGUUGAUUAUGCUAUUGAUACGAGUAAUUAUGAGACCUGAGAAUUAUUGCAAAUGUGGUUAGUUAUGAUGAAAACUUGAAUGCUGGCUUGACAUAGUUACAACAACAAGAGCAAACAGAGUUUGUAAAAGUUUUUCUUUCUUUCUUUCAGUUUGUCAACUGAAUUGCUUGAGGACAAGCAAGGGUUUAAGCUUGGGGGAGUUGAUACGUCUCCGUCGUAUCUACUUUUCCAAACACGUUUGCCCUUGUUUUGGACUCUAUCUUGUAUGAUUUGAAUGGAACUAACCUGGACUGACGCGGUUUUCAGCAGAAUUACCAUGAUGUUGUUUUAUGUGCAAAAAACAAAUAUUCUUGGAAUGACCUGAAACUCCACGGGAGGUCUUAGAAAAAACAAUAAAAAAUCCUCGCCAAAUAUGAAGACCAAGGGGCCCACACCCUUUCCACGAGGGUGGGGGCGCCCCCUAGGGCGUGCCCCCUACCUCGUGGGCCCCCUGUUGACCCUCCGACGCCAACUCCAACUCUAUAUAUUUGCUUUCGGAGAGAAAAAAAUAAGAGAGAAGAAAUCAUCGUGUUUUACGAUACGGAGCUCCGGAGAGGGGGAUUCGUCGCCGUCGUCAUCAUCAACCAUCCUCCAUCACCAAUUUCAUGAUGCCCACCGUCGUGCGUGAGUAAUUCCAUCGUAGGCUUGCUGGACGGUGAUGGGUUGGAUGAGAUUUAUCAUGUAAUCGAGUUAGUUUUUUUAGGGUUUGAUCCCUAGUAUCCACUAUGUUCUGAGAUUGAUGUUGCUAUGACUUUGCUAUGCUUAAUGCUUGUCACUAGGGCCCGAGUGCCAUGAUUUCAGAUCUGAACCUAUUAUGUUUGCAUUAAUAUAUGUGAGUUCUAGAUCCUAUCUUGCAAGUCUAUAGUCACCUACUAUGUGUUAUGAUCCGGCAACCCCGAAGUGACAAUAAUCGGGACCACUCCCGGUGAUGACCAUAGUUUGAGGAGUUCAUGUAUUCACUAUGUGCUAAUGCUUUGUUCUGGUUCUCUAUUAAAAGGAGGCCUUAAUAUCCCUAAGUUUCCAAUAGGACCCCGCUCCCACGGGAGGGUAGGACAAAAGAUGGCAUGCAAGUUCUUUUCCAUAAGCACGUAUGACUAUAUACGGAAUACAUGCCUACAUUACAUUGACGAAUUGGAGCUAGUUUUGUGUCACCCUAUGUUAUGACUGUUACAUGAUGAACCGCAUCUGGCAUAAUUAUCCAUCGCUGAUCGAGUGCCUACGAGUUUUCCAUAUACUGGUUUACGCUUAUUUACUUUCCCUCUGCUACUGUUACAAUCACUACAAAAUACCAAAAAUAUUACUUUUGCUGUCUUUACUUUUGUUGCCGCUACCACCACUAUCAUAUUACUUUGCUACUAAACACUUUGCUGCAGAUACUAAGUUUCCAGGUGUGGUUGAAUUGACAACUCAGCUGCUAAUACUUGAGAAUAUUCUUUGGCCCCCCUUGUGUCAAAUCAAUAAAUUUGGGUUGAAUACUCUACCCGCGGAAGCUGUUGCGAUCCCCUAUACUUGUGGGUUAUCAGGUCUCCGGUCCCGGCUGCUGCUGUUCCAGUGGUUACCGUCGCCGCGGCCGUAGAAUUUUGACCGGGCUGAGAGCCAGCCAUGUAGACCCCGGCUCGAUUUGGCGGCUCAAAGGGGUCCGGAAUACUGCUUCCAUCGGAACAGCCCCCAAGCCCGCCAUCAUGUAGUUGAUACAAUGAAUCUGCCUCACCUGUGGACGACUCGCCGUCAGAGUGGACAGCCGUCUCGCCGCUAUCCACAGAUCCUUCAGAAAGCUCCCCUCCAUGGAUGCAACCUACGAAGGCAUGCCUUACGGCUAGCUGAGCCCGGGCGGGUCUCGCACGCUGAGCCGUUUCGAUGAGGUCGGUGCAGACGUCCGACUCAGGGCCCGGCUCGCUGAUCCGGCCGACAAAGACAUGGAUUCCGCCGAAGGGGACCCGAUACCCGUACUCGAUCGAGACGGCCUCGGGGCCCCAGCCUGCGUCGUCGAUGUAGAGCUUGCCGCGACGACUCUUGGUCAUUCGGCCCACAUCGUAUCUCUUGAGCCCUUCGAAGGUGCCCUUCAAAAACUCAAAUCCACCAUGCGCUGGCCCCACGGUAGGCGCCAACUGUCCUGUAAUUUUCACGGCAGAUGUCCUAGUGAAAGGACUUAGUCGUGGAGCCAUCGCAACUAGGAAGCUUAAAGGGGUUAAUCAGGACAAAGGACACGAGAGGUUUAUACUGGUUCGGCCCCUUGCGGUGAAGGUAAAGCCUAGUCCAGUUGUUGUGGUAUUUCUAGGUUUCGAUGACCAAGGAGCGAAAUAUGAUAGCUUGGCUCUCGAUCGGAAGGUAAAGCCUAAGCCAUCGCCGGGUUGUCCCCUUAUAUACAAGGGUUGACGCCCUGCGGCCUAUAGAGUCCCGGCCGGCUCAUACAACGUGUCCGGCUCAGUGACGUAUUUUACAUGCCUUACUUUACAAGUCUUAUCAUACAUGGCGGUUUAUACUCAUAGGCCUUAAGCCGCCUCUGGGCUUCGGCCUACUACAACCUUAUCAUAAACUGUCACCUUGUAUAUUCUUCGGGCUUCCUUUAGUUAACCCGCCAUUGCUAUUGACCCGGCCCCUGCUGGGCGGGUCAUACCUGGUAGUUAUCCCCAACACUACUCAUAGCAUAACAUGACCACUAGCAUCAACAAUAAAUACCAUGCAAUAACAUAACGAUAAAACUACCAUGCGAGUAUUUAAUCAACUCGAUGCAAAGAAACAUGCAUAACGGCGGUACUCGGAACAGACGAUAGUCAUGCACUGAAGACCAUCACCAACAUGUACUACUACCAAACAUUGCCAAUAUUAAAGUAAUACUAUCAUGAAGAACAUAAUAACAGAGUGCAAGAAAACAUAGCAUCACGGUAAACACCGAUCCAUAAGCAUAACCGAAAUAAUGACAGCAGUAGCAAAACAAUCAAACAGUUAUUAAAGAUUCAAGUUGAAAACCAAUGCUUCUGCAUGACUAUCAUGCAAAUGGUGGUUGUGUCUUGCCUGUGUAUGAAGAAGGCUCUGGGGAGAAGUGCGGAAAGAUCGCGGAAGGAAUUGCCGAAAAGAUUCUCUCUCGAAGGGGGCUGAUUAGGGGCAAGGGCAAAAUGGGUCAUUUUCAGAAUGUUGAAACAUAGUGAAAAUGGUACCAAAAGUUUGGGCUCGACGAGACAAAGAAGUGGGCUUUGGAAUCACCUAAAUCGGAGUUGCGGUCGCGAAGAUACGAGAAGGGGAAGUCCAGGGACCAAUCUGUGAAAGUUUUCAUCACCAACAAGUCCCUGGGAGGAAAAACAGAUCGCGCACUUAGAGGAAUACGCCCCCAGGAAGGGAAAACGUACUUUCAGUCGUAGUAGAAUAAUAGUACAUUUUUGGAGAAGGGAAGACACAUUUCAAGAAAACCGUCUCCACUUAUCCACGUGGACCAGGGCGCUAGGCCACUGGCGCGUGGGUCCUAGUCGCAUGGGGAGGGGCUCGGGCGCUCGUCUCCU